AACGAACGCUGGCGGCAGGCCUAACACAUGCAGGUCGAACGUGAAGCCACCUUCGGGUGGUGGAAAGUGGCAGACGGGUGAGUAACGCGUGGGAACGUGCCUUUCGGUUCGGGAUAACCCAGGGAAACUUGGGCUAAUACCGGAUACGGCCUCCGGGGGAAAGAUUCAUUGCCGAAAGAUCGGCCCGCUUCGGAUUAGCUAGUUGGUGGGGUAAAAGCCUACCAAGGCGACGAUCCGUAGCUGGUCUGAGAGGAUGACCAGCCACACUGGGACUGAGACACGGCCCAGACUCCUACGGGAGGCAGCAGUGGGGAAUAUUGGACAAUGGGCGCAAGCCUGAUCCAGCCAUGCCGCGUGGGUGAAGAAGGCCCUAGGUUUGUAAACCCCUUUCAGCGGGGAAGAUAAUGACGGUACCCGCAGAAGAAGCCCCGGCUAACUCCGUGCCAGCAGCCGCCGUAA
rnacentral:rRNA from 1 species